rnacentral:rRNA from 1 species
GAUGAACGAUGGCGGCGUGCCUAAUACAUGCAAGUCGAGCGAACAGACGAGGAGCUUGCUCCUCUGACGUUAGCGGCGGACGGGUGAGUAACACGUGGAUAGCCUACCUAUAAGACUGGGAUAACUUCGGGAAACCGGAGCUAAUACCGGAUAAUAUAUUGAACCGCAUGGUUCAAUAGUGAAAGACGGUUUUGCUGUCACUUAUAGAUGGAUCCGCGCCGCAUUAGCUAGUUGGUAAGGUAACGGCUUACCAAGGCAACGAUGCGUAGCCGACCUGAGAGGGUGAUCGGCCACACUGGAACUGAGACACGGUCCAGACUCCUACGGGAGGCAGCAGUAGGGAAUCUUCCGCAAUGGGCGAAAGCCUGACGGAGCAACGCCGCGUGAGUGAUGAAGGUCUUCGGAUCGUAAAACUCUGUUAUUAGGGAAGAACAAAUGUGUAAGUAACUAUGCACGUCUUGACGGUACCUAAUCAGAAAGCCACGGCUAACUACGUG